AAAAAGUGUUGAAAAAUAAAUCAGAAACAAAAUAAAUAUGUAGAGUCGUCUCUCAAAACAGAGAUUUUAGAGAUGGUAAGAGACGCAUACGUGGUGGUUUUUGAUUGGUUAAAAUUUUAGACAAAAAAUAUGUUUUUUCUUUUUUUCUUUUCCUUGACUUUCUCUCUUGCUCGACAAACUUGAUCGAUCAAGUAGUCAAUUUCUUUAUCCUUCCUUCUCUCUUGCGAAUUUCUUCAAACACACACAGCUGUCUCAAUUCUUGCUCAAUUUUAUUGAUUCAAAGUUCUAUUUCACUCAAUUUUGGCUCCAGAAUCCAUCUGUAUCACUCUCUUUCACUCCCAAGCAAGAGAAGAUUAUAAGAUAUGUGAGUUGAAGACAAGAAGAAGAAGAAGAAGAAGAAGAAGAAGACAACAGAGACGACUAUAAGACAUUUGACAUGUAAUUUUCAUUUGGCUGUGUUUUAUGUCAUGUUUGUUUAAAUUUUAUGAAAUGCAAUUAUUUCUCAAUUUGAAAUUUUAAAGAAACCCAUGUGGUUUCUACCA